rnacentral:rRNA from 1 species
GUGGGGAAUAUUGGACAAUGGGCGAAAGCCUGAUCCAGCCAUGCCGCGUGUGUGAAGAAGGUCUUCGGAUUGUAAAGCACUUUAAGUUGGGAGGAAGGGUAGUAACCUAAUACGUUGCUACUUUGACGUUACCGACAGAAUAAGCACCGGCUAACUUCGUGCCAGCAGCCGCGGUAAUACGAAGGGUGCAAGCGUUAAUCGGAAUUACUGGGCGUAAAGCGCGCGUAGGUGGUUCAGUAAGUUGGAAGUGAAAUCCCCGGGCUCAACCUGGGAACUGCUUUCAAAACUGCUGAGCUAGAGUACGGUAGAGGGUGGUGGAAUUUCCUGUGUAGCGGUGAAAUGCGUAGAUAUAGGAAGGAACACCAGUGGCGAAGGCGACCACCUGGACUGAUACUGACACUGAGGUGCGAAAGCGUGGGGAGCAAACAGGAUUAGAAACCCCGGUAGUCC